rnacentral:rRNA from 1 species
AGCGAACGCUGGCGGCAGGCCUAACACAUGCAAGUCGAACGAAGUCUUCGGACUUAGUGGCGGACGGGUGAGUAACACGUGGGAACGUGCCUUUAGGUUCGGAAUAACUCAGGGAAACUUGUGCUGAUACCGAAUGUGCCCUUCGGGGGAAAGAUUUAUCGCCUUUAGAGCGGCCCGCGUCUGAUUAGCUAGUUGGUGAGGUAAUGGCUCACCAAGGCUACGAUCAGUAGCUGGUCUGAGAGGAUGACCAGCCACAUUGGGACUGAGACACGGCCCAAACUCCUACGGGAGGCAGCAGUGGGGAAUCUUGCGCAAUGGGCGAAAGCCUGACGCAGCCAUGCCGCGUGGAUGAUGAAGGUCUUAGGAUUGUAAAAUCCUUUCACCGGUGAAGAUAAUGACUGUAGCCGGAGAAGAAGCCCCGGCUAACUUCGUGCCAGCAGCCGCCGUAAUAC